GUGUGCCGGUGAAGGUUAGUGGGCAGGCCAAGUUAGUGCGCCGUCCGAGGCUAGUUGAUAAGCUCAGUUAGCGCGCCGGUGGAGGUUAGUGGGCAGGCCAAGUUAGUGCGCCGGCAGAGGCUAGUUGAUAAGCUAAGUUAGCGCACCGGUGGAGCUUAGUGGGCAGGCCAAGUUAGUGCGCCGGCAGAGGUUAGUGGGCAGGCCAAGUUAGUGCGCCGGCAGAGGCUAGUUGAUAAGCUAAGUUAGCGCACCGGUGGAGGUUAGUGGGCAGGCCAAGUUAGUGCGCCGGCGGAGGCUAGUUGAUAAGCUAAGUUAGCGCGCCAGUGGAGGUUAGUGGGCAGGCCAAGUUAGUGCGCCGGCAGAGGGUAGUUGAUAAGCUAAGUUAGCGCGCCGGUGGAGGCUAGUUGAUAAGCUAAGUUAGCGCACCGGUGGAGGUUAGUGGGCAGGCCAAGUUAGUGCGCCGGCGGAGGCUAGUUGAUAAGGUAAGUUAGUGUGCCGGUGAAGGUUAGUGGGUAGGCCAAGUUAGUGCGCCGGCGGAGGCUAGUUGAUAAGCUAAGUUAGCACGCCGGUGGAGGUUAGUGGGCAGGCCAAGUUAGUGCGCCGGCAGAGGGUAGUUGAUAAGCUAAGUUAGCGCGCCGGUGGAGGUUAGUGGGUAGGCCAAGUUAGUGCGCCGGCGGAGGUUAGUGGGCAGGCCAAGUUAGUGCGCCGGCGGAGGCUAGUUGAUAAGGUAACUUAGUGUGCCGGUGGAGGUUAGUGGGCAAGCCAAGUUAGUGCGCCUUCGGAGGCUAGUUGAUAAGCUAAGUUAGCGCGCCGGUGGAGGUUAGUGGGCAGGCCAAGUUAGUGCGCUGGCGGAGGCUAGUUGAUAAGGUAAGUUAGUGCGCCGGUGGAGGUUAGUGGGCAGGCCAAGUUAGUGCGCUGGUGGAGGUUAGAGCACAGGCCAAGUUAGUGCGCCGGUGGAGGCUAGUUGAUAAGCUAAGUUAGCGCGCCGGUGGAGGUUAGUGGGCAGGCCAAGUUAGUGCACCGGUGGAGACUAGUUGAUAAGGUAAUUGAGCGAGCGGGCGGAGGACAGUGG